CCUACGGGUGGCAGCAGUGGGGAAUAUUGCACAAUGGGGGAAACCCUGAUGCAGCAACGCCGCGUGAGUGAUGACGGCCCUCGGGUUGUAAAGCUCUGUCUUCAGGGACGAUAAUGACGGCACCUGAGGAGGAAGCCACGGCUAACUACGUGACAGCAGCCGCGGUAAUACGGAGGUGGCGAGCGUUGUCCGGAUUUACUGGGCGUAAAGGGAGCGUAGGCGGACUUUUAAGUGAGAUGUGAAAUACUCGGGCUCAACUUGAGUACUGCAUUUGAAACUGGAAGUCUAGAGUGCAGGCGAGGAGGAUGGAAUUCGUGGUGUAGCGGUGAAAUGCGUAGAGAUUACGAAGAACACCGGUGGCGAAGGCGAUUCUCUGGACUGUAACUGACGCUGAGGCUCGAAAGCGUGGGGAGCAAACAGGAUUAGAUACCCGAGUAGUC
rnacentral:rRNA from 1 species